CACUCUAGACAUAUCAAGAUGAUCUCCCAGACUCAGCUACUCUGGCUCCUCGCACUGUGCAUUCAAGAUUCCAGUGGACAGACUGUGAUGACUCAGACUCCAGAAUCCCUGGCAGUGUCUCCAGGAGACAGAGUCACCAUCAACUGCAAAGCCAGUUCCAGUGUUAGCAACUGGAUGGCCUGGUACCAACAGAAAUCAGGACAAGCUCCUAAGCUCCUUAUCUACAGGGCUUCCAACUGUCCCUCUGGGAUCCCAGACCGGUUCAGUGGCAAUGGGUCUGGCACUGAUUUCACAUUCACAAUCAGCAGGGUUGAAGCAGAUGAUGCUGGAGAUUAUUACUGCCAAAAGUAUAACAAUGCCCCACUCGCACAGUGAUACAAACCAGCACAGAAACCUCCCUACUGUGUAGUUUCAGACGCUCACUCAGUAUUUCAGCUGCUUCCUGUGCAGCCUAAUUGUGUGAUUGCCUCUGCUGCCCUGCAGUGGGGUGGCUGGGUGUGUCAGACUUCGAUCACCUCCAUCCACACUGAAGAACUUCCAGUCCUUUCAGGUGCUCACACCAGGGGUUCAGCACUCUUUACUCAGCAAUUGCUCCCUGCCCGCUAACAUGGAUUUGCUCUUACGGAUUGCAUCCAACUUCCUACUGACAAGAGGUUACAAUCCAAGCAACUUUCUACUGAGCUGACAAAAUGGAUGGAUUUGUAAAGCAUCCACACUGGAAAACUGCAACAGUCUAAUUCAACUAAACUGUUCUCAGAGUAAAGGACACUAUCUGAUCCAGCCCCUUCAGUUCAGUUACUUUUGCUCAUUACAACAUCUGCCUCAUAAAUGGAACCAUCCAAACAUCUGCUACUCCUGCUUCAGCAUCAAGAAUGGUCAAGAAUAGCUCUCUUAAUGGCUAUUAGGUGUCUGGGUGUUACCAGCUCAGCAACAGUAAUAGAUACAAAACCUCAGCCACGCAGAUGACGUUUAUUUAUGCCCAGGUGGUUUCCACCAUGACCCCAGAGACAAGUUGCACUCCCAAUAUUUUAUGGUCAAGCAGGGCCAAUGCU